AUUUUCUAAUCCGGAUUGGGUUCUUAAUCAUACAAAUCCAUUUCGGAUACCUAAUUGAUGUUGAUUGGUUUGCAGGUAUAUAUAUACCCCAUCUGUUAAUCGUUCCAUAAUAUAUACUCGUAGAGAGAUUAGAGGGAAAUCGGGCGGUGAUGAAUAGCAGGAGAGUAACAUUGUUUUUACUACUGGUUGUCGCAUGUUAUGUCCAUCAAGGAAUAGCUUCUCUCUCUGACGCUGACCGUAAGGUGGAUGAGACACAGAUAGUUUACGAUGAAAGCAUCCAUGCUUUCAUCCAUGAACCAUUGGAUUCAGAGAUGACCGAGGAUAAAUUGCCAAUCGAAUAUUGGAUUGGUCUACCGGACAGACCUGUUCGCUGGGAUGAUAUUGACUCAUACUUCAUAUGGAGAGUUAAUCAGACCAAAAAUUUUCUAUUGUUUUCAAGAUUUGAUCAAUAACUCUUUUAUUAUAAGUAUUAAAUUUGUGGAUUCUGAUAAAGAAAACAUAUUUAAGUUCGUAUUAAUGAUAAAAAAGAAUUGUUUCUUCUUUGUAUUUAUCUCUAUUGUUCAAUAUGUGCUGCGAACUUGCAGUUCUGGCUUUAUUACAUUAUAUGCUUUUGCUUACUUGAGGGAGGAAGUUGUGAAUGGGUGGAUUAUUAGCAUGGAGGUAUAUCUUGUUUCAGAUUGAUUUUUGUCAAAAAACAUUGUAACGAUAUUGUGGCUCUCUCUUGAUUUAUUGUGAGUUAGCCUUUCUGACAAACAAACAAUUGGUACCAAAGGUGAUUUUUCGUUCAGACUUUUUGUCGAGCGGAUGGUGUGCACUCCUGUCUGUGUACAAUGCAGCUUCAUUGGCGUUUAUCGGUGUCUGCAUUUGAUGAGCUAUAUGCUCGGAGAAACGUAUAUUGAAGAAUACAAUGAUCGUGUGAUGGCUGUUGUACGUUGUGAAGCUCAGGUAUGCUUCACUGUUCUCAAGUUAUGCAGAUGUUUAACUAGAACUCAAGAUUUGAAAUUGUUUGCUAUUUAUAUUAGGUUGAAGAUUGCAAUUCUCAUUAUUCUGAUAGUCAGAAGAUUGAUGGUAGGAAGCUUUAAAUUACCAUUAUAAAAGUCAAACAAGACAAAUAAAUUGGGACGGAGGGGGUAUAUCUUAAAUAGGGCUAUAAUCGAUAUUUCACAUGCAAUUUCUUUGAAAACUUUUGUCCUUGGUUGCAAUUGUUAUUUUUUUUUUGUUUUGUUUU